CUUUACCCAGCGACCCUCAGUCUUCAUCGCCCUCGGCGCCCUCCGAUUCGCCCACUAUUUCCGUCUCGACGCUUUUUAUCUUAACUUGUAUGCUCUCCAGCCGUUUUCUCUAUCGGCCCUCAACGAUGCCCGCUACCGUCGCCGAGCUCAUCCACCGACACAAAGUGGUGGUUUUCUCGUGGGUGCACUGCCCGUAUUGCUCUCGCGCCAAGGAGAUCCUCAAGUCGCUUGCGAAGGAUAUACAAGUUUACGAGUGCGACCAGAUGGACAACGGCGAGGAACUUCGUGCGCAGAUUCUGCAGGCGUACAAUCACGACACAGUGCCGGCGAUCUUCAUCAACGGUGAGUUCAUUGGCGGGUGCAGCGACUUGCAGGCCAUUCAGAAGAGCGGCGAACUGGCUGCGAAGCUUGCGUAAAGUACGACGAGCGCUACCUGAAAGAGGAGUGGGCAAGAGGUGAGCGUGCGCGUGAGCCCUGCAAGUCGUUUUAUUAUCUGUUUAUACUUGCGUGUGUGUGUGUGUGUCUGAAUAUCGCACGUCGCAGUAAAAAUUUCGCACGGUGUGGGGGAGUGGGCCGCCGGCACCCCGUCGACCACGUGUUUCUCUCCUGGUGUGCUUCCACUCACCGCGGGAUGGUGACGCGAGAAAG
rnacentral:misc_RNA from 1 species